rnacentral:lncRNA from 1 species
AACAAUUGUCCUCACAAGCAAAACAUCAUUUUCAUCAUUAUUCAUCUGCUUUUAAGUGUCGAACUUCGGUGCUUCACAGGAUACAAAAAAAUCAUAGAAUUGCAGAUGCCACUGCUCUGCUCUACAUCUUAAUUCUACACUUAUGGAAGAUGACUUACUUUCAUCUGUGUUGUCUGGAAGAAAAACAUAGCAUGUGUUGAAGAAGAUGCUUUCCUCAAAGAUUCUUCAGACUUCAAGGG